UGCGCAGGCGGCCGGGUGUGUGAGGCGUGAAAGCCUGGAGCUCAACUCCAGAAUUGCACCUCAAACUACACGGCUAGAGCAUUGGAGAGGGUAGCAGAAUUCACGGUGUAGCAGUGAAGUGCGUAGAUAUCGUGAGGAAUACCAGAGGCGAAGGCGGCUACCUGGACAAUUGCUGACGCUCAGGCACGAAAGCGUGGGGAGCAAAAGGGAUUAGAUACCCCUGUAGUCCACGCCCUAAACGGUGCAAACUAGGUCUUGGCGGAUUCGACCCCAUCAGGGCCCAAGCUAACGCGUUAAGUUUGCCGCCUGAGGACUACGGCCGCAAGGCUAAA
rnacentral:rRNA from 1 species